rnacentral:pre_miRNA from 14 species
AUUCGGGGUUCCGGGGGGGGGGGUCACGCUCCGAUCCCGGAUGAGCCCCCAAAUGAAAGAGUGUACCCCAAAACGGGGAGCCGUGUCUCUCGCUCCAAUCGCGGGGUGGGGUGCCCCCAGGAGUCAUGAGUAGCC